GUUGUUUCAUGAAGACGGCUCCAGUUCAUAAAUCCUUUUAGAGUACAUGGACAUCACAGAGAAGAGUGUUCUGCUACGCACUGUCAUGAGACAGAAUGGAGAGCUAAUGCUCUCCUUAGGAUAUGUAAGAUGAGCUGUGAUUGGUUGCUGGGAGCAAAUUAGUCGGUUCUGUGUCCCUGAUGAUGUGAAGAGGUGCCGGCACAGCGCAGAAGGACGUCACCCUUCAAGGUGGCCCUCCGAGUCCCGCUGAACGGGAUAGACACAGGCCUGAUCCGUGAAUGCGGAGGACUACGUCAGAUUCGGCGGUUUGCAAUGAUGAACAUUUUUUUAAAUGUCAAUAAAAGGAUAAACGAGG